ensembl:snRNA U6 U6 spliceosomal RNA
UUGCUUACUUUGGCAACAAAUAUGUUAAAAUUGGAAUGAUACAGAGAAGAUUAUCAUGGCUCUUAGAAAAGGAUGGCAUGCAAAUUCUUGGAGCAUUCAUAUUAUUU